CUGUAGACGCUGGAUGCUCAGGACAUUGUCAUUGUUACCUCUGUGUGUGCAGCCAUGCGUCACAGGUGCUGGGCAGUGGUGACCCCCGGCGUCAUGCCUGCAGUAUUUCCCUGGACUUUUCUGGAGACAGAGGGAGAGUCUUGCUUCUCCCCACCUUGCUCUCUGCUCCACAACUCCGGGAACUCCCUCUGGUUCCUCUGUUACUAUGUCUGCCUGCAGCCGAGGAGUGCAGCCCAUAGACAUCUGGGGCGGCAGGAAGCCAAGGGACCGAAUGCGUCACAACAGCGUCCUGGUGCAGUGACCUUUUGUGAAGCGACCCAGAGGCUGGCUGGGCCCCAAGGGGCAUGCUGCCCCCAGCCAGACGCCGGUGACCUCCCCACCUGCCUCUCCUUCCCAGCACAGCACGAGUCUGGUCUGGCCCUUUCUUGCCUCCUGCAGCGCUGAUCCUGAGGGACAGAGAAGGUAGACAGACUUACUUAGGACCUGUGCCUGCUCGGAGGGUGUCAUUCAUGGGGCUGGACAGUCGUGGUGUCCCCACAUUUCUUUCCUUCUCAUGGACCACUGGGUCAUCAUUAGACUUAAUAAAACCAUCUUAAAACUCAAAA